rnacentral:lncRNA from 1 species
CGGAAUCCGAUGUCCCAAUAUCACGAACCGUCUACGAAUACUACAUACAAAUGUCUAAAAGAAAGUACAAUCUAUCUCAAAAGCAAAUGAAAACAGAAUACAUAUAAAGAUAGAAGAGAACGUCGGGCCUGCAGACGCCUGCAGGACUACCUCGGGAUCUCUAGCUGGACUGAAGGUAGCUACCCAAUGCUACAGCCAAAAGUUGUCGCUCUGGGAUCUGUACAUAGUGCAAAGUGUAGAAUCAGCACAACCAACCCCAUGUGCUGGUAAGUGACUGGCCUAACCUCGGCGAAGUAGUGACGAGGCUAAGACCAGACUACCAAAUAAACCUGUACAGUUAUAUAAUAUGCAUCAAAAACUAAAAUAGGAAAAUAACAAGUAAAGAUAGGAGGGGGUACAUGUUGUACGGGAAUAUUAGUACCAACAGUGAAUUAAGAGAAAAGCAGAAGAACAAUUUAGAAUUUACAGCAAAACAAUAAGGAACUCGUAACCAAUCUAUGAACACUUUGUAUUAUCAAUUGUUGCGGCGCGCAACCCGAUCCCAAAACAUAACAACUCUGUUGCAGCGCGCAAUACAAUCCAUAUCAUUUAUUACUGUUGCGGCGUUCAACACGAUCCAAUUAUAUUAUUGUUGUGGCGUGCAACCCUAUCCAACUAUAAUAUUGUUGCGGCGUGCAACCCUAUCCAAAUAUUAUAUUGUUGGGGUGUGCAACCCUAUCCAAAAAUAAUAUUGUUGCAGCGCGUAGCCCGAUCCACAUAUAUAGUUCAACACUAAUCACAACAAGAGUCCCGACAAGGGAUCAAUAAAGAAACAAUACUAUCAUGGCAAGGGAAUCGAUAGUGUACGUAAAUACGUCCCGGCAAGGGAAAAUCAACUAUAAGAUAACUUGUUCCGACAUAUAACUACCUCAACUAGCACCAAUACUCAAUCAUAAGUAAUUUCCACGAGGAUAAUCAUAAUCCUUGUUCAACUCAGAGAAUCCACAACUUAGGCAUUUGUAGUAUCUAUUUAGAACACAACAAUUUCAAUCUAAGACUCACGAUCAUGCUUGACACCAAUGUAUAGAUACUCAUCAACAUGCCUAUAUGUCGUACUCAACAAGUAACAUGUAGCAAAUAGGACUCAACUCCUAAUCCCUCAGGAUAAUGUUAGACCCAACACUUACCUCGAUGCCACGAACACAAUUCAUGUCUCUACUGUCGCUUUACCUCUUGAUUCCACCAUUAAUUCAUUCGUAUCUAGCCACAAGUUACUUAAUUACAUCAAUAAAUGCUAAAUGAAUCAAUUCUAAUGCAUGAAAAUGAGUUUUCUAAAGUUUUACCUAAAAAGUCAAAAAUCGCCCCCGGGCUUACAUGGUCAAAACUCGAGGUUCGAACCAAAACUCGAUUACACAUUCCCCCACGAACCCAAAUAUAUAAUUUGUUUUGAAAUCGGACCUCAAUUCGAGGUCCAAAUCCCAAAUUUUUGGAAAACCUAGGUUCUACCCAAAACACUCAAUUUCCCCUAUGAAAAUCAUUGAUUUUGAGUUGAAAUAAUGUGAAAAUAUGUUAAAGAUUGAAGAAAACGAGUUAAAAUUGAAUUACAAUCGAUUUGGAAGAAGAGUUGUCUUUGAAAAAUCGCCCAAGAGUGUUUUGGUUUUGAAAGAGUGUGGAAAAUGGAAGAUUUUCGGCUAAGUUAUAAAAUUGCAGGUUGCAGAUGUCGUAAUUGCGAACCCAGACUUCUGCUAAAUUCGCAUUUGCGAGUUGGGAAUUGCGAACAACUUGUCGCAUUUGCGAUGACUGGCUAAAAUAGGGGGGAUCGCAUUUGCGAUAGAAUCCUCGCAGUUGCGAGGUAGGCCACCCUGGGUUACAUUUCGCAUUUGCAACAUGGCCCUUGCAUUUGCGAGCCAGGCUUCGCAAAAGUGAAGCCUGCAGGCCUACACUGAAAUAGCUGAAAACCUGCAAUUCUCCAAGUCCAAAAUCCACCCCUUGGCCUAUCCAAAACUCACCCGAGCCCUCGGGGCUCUAAACCAAAUAUGCACACCAAUCUAAAAGCAUCAUAAGGACUCGCUCGUUCAUUCAAAUCACUAAAAUAACAUCAACAACUAUGAAUUUAGCAUCAAAAUCAUGAAAUUUCUUAAGAACUUCAAAUUUUCUAAUUUUCUCAAAAACAAUCUGAUUCACGUCGUUUCAAGUCCGUUGCUUACCAAAUUUCACAGACUUAUCUUAAAUCACAUAUAAGACCUAUAUCGGGCGCCGAAACCAUAAUACGGGCCCGAUACCAUCAAGUUUUAAACACAUUUUAUUUUCAAAAACUCAUAAAUAUUCCAGAAAAUAACUUGCAUUAAAAAUUCAUUUCUCAGGCUUGGGACCUCAAAAUUCAAUUCCGGGCAUACGCCCAAGUCCCAUAUUUUCCUACGGACCCUUCAGAACCAUCAAAUCACGGGUCUGAGUCCGUUUACCCAAAAUAUUGAUCGAAGUCAACUUAAUUUAUUUUAUAGUUAAAAUUCAUUAUUUUUCAAAGAUUUUCACAAAAUGGCUUUCCGACUACGCACGAAAAUCGAGGUGAUGCUGAAAGAGGUUUUUAAAGCCUCGAAAAUAGAAUUUAUUUUCAAAAAAAGUGAUGACCUUUUGGGUCAUCACACUAAUACCUGCCUCCAUAUCUGCAUGAGGCGAAUCCCUGUCUCCCUAUCUGCAUGAGGCUAAUCCCUGCC